rnacentral:rRNA from 1 species
CCUACGGGUGGCAGCAGUGAGGAAUAUUGGUCAAUGGUCGGAAGCCUGAACCAGCCAAGUAGCGUGCAGGAUGACGGCCCUGCGGGUUGUAAACUGCUUUUAUCCGGGAAUAACGCGCCUUACGUGUAGGGCUUUGCAUGUACCGUAUGAAUAAGGACCGGCUAAUUCCGUGCCAGCAGCCGCGGUAAUACGGAAGGUCCGGGCGUUAUCCGGAUUUAUUGGGUUUAAAGGGAGCGUAGGCCGCAUGUCAAGCGUGCUGUGAAAUGUCCGGGCUCAACCCCGGCCUUGCAGCGCCAACUGGCGUGCUUGAGUUGGAGGAAAGCAGGCGGAAUGCGUCGUGUAGCGGUGAAAUGCUUAGAUAUGGCGAAGAACCCCGAUUGCGAAGGCAGCUUGCUGCAGCGGAACUGACGCUGAUGCUCGAAAGCGUGGGUAUCGAACAGGAUUAGAUACCCUUGUAGUC